rnacentral:rRNA from 1 species
UUAAGCUAUAAAGAGCACAGGGCGGAUGCCUGGGCACUGGGAGCCGAAGAAGGACGUGAUAAGCUGCGAAAAGCCGCGGGGAGGAGCAAAUAUCCAUUGAGCCGCGGAUGUCCGAAUGGGGAAACCCACUUGAGCAGACCUCAAGUACCCAUGCGCCAAUCCAUAACGCAUGGGAGGGAACCCGGGGAACUGAAACAUCUAAGUACCCGGAGGAAGAGAAAGAAACAUCGAUUUCCCAAGUAGCGGCGAGCGAACGGGAAAGAGCCCAAACCACGGAAUUUAUUCUGUGGGGUUAGGACUGCAUAAUUGAUUUGCGAUUGAUAGGAGAACGGUCUGGGAAGUCCGGCGAAAAAGCGUGAAAGCCGCGUAUCCGAAAUCGAAAGCAACAUGGCAGGAUCCAGAGUACCACGAGACACGUGAAACCUUGUGGGAAUGAGCGGAGACCACUCCGUAAGGCUAAAUACUACCCAGUGACCGAUAGCGCAUAGUACUGUGAAGGAAAGGUGAAAAGGACCCCGGGAGGGGAGUGAAAGAGAACCUGAAACCCUGUGUUUACAAGCUGUCGAAGCACGAAAGUGCGACGGCGUACUUUUUGUAGAACGGUCCGGCGAGUUAUGAUGAGUGGUAAGGUUAAGGACUUAAGGUCCGGAGCCGAAGCGAAAGCGAGUGUUAAAAGCACGACAGAAUCGCUUAUCAUAGACCCGAAACCGGGUGAUCUAUCCAUGUCCAGGUUGAAGCUGCCGUAAGAGGUAGUGGAGGACCGAACCCACAUCCGUUGAAAAGGGUGGGGAUGAGGUGUGGAUAGGGGAGAAAUUCCAAUCGAACCCGGAGAUAGCUGGUUCUCCUCGAAAUAGCUUUAGGGCUAGCCUCGAUACAGAUUUGCGGAGGUAGAGCACUGAAUUUCCUAGGGGGCGUCAAAGCCUACCGAAGAAUAUCAAACUCCGAAUGGCGGCCAGAUGGUGUCAUGGAGUCAGACUGCACGAGAUAAGUUGGGUGGUCAAAAGGGAAAGAGCCCAGACCCACAGCUAAGGUCCCAAAGUGCGUGUUAAGUGGAAAAGGAUGUGGGAUUUCGAAGACAACUAGGAUGUUGGCUCAGAAGCAGCCACACAUUCAAAGAGUGCGUAAUAGCUCACUAGUCGAGAGGUCCUGCGCCGAAAAUGUCCGGGGCUGAAACACGACACCGAAGCUUGGGAAUCCUACGGGAUUGGUAGAGGAGCAUUGAAGACGGGACGAAGCGUAACCGUAAGGAUACGUGGACUGUCUUGAAGAGAGAAUGCCGGAAUGAGUAGCGAGAAUGAAGUGAGAAUCUUCAUGGCCGAAUAUCUAAGGUUUCCAGGGUAAAGCUGAUCUGCCCUGGGUAAGUCGGGACCUAAGGCGAGGUCGAAAGACGUAGCCGAUGGACAACAGGUUGAAAUUCCUGUACUGCAUUAAAUCAGAACUGUGGGGACACAGAAGGAAGGCAUGAGCCGGAAAAGGAAAAUCCGGUGCAAGCAUGGGAGGGGUAUGACAGGCAAAUCCGUCAUGCAACCCGAGAAUGUGACGCGGAGCGAACAAAAGUAGCGAAGCAUGCUUACCGGCUGUCGAGAAAAGCCGCUAUUGCGUUUAAUGUACCCGUACCGUAAACCGACACAGGUGGAUGAGGAGAGAAUCCUAAGGCCGGCGGGAGAAGCAUUGUUAAGGAACUCGGCAAAAUGACCCCGUAACUUCGGGAGAAGGGGUGCUCUUAGAAAUAAGAGCCGCAGAGAAUUGGCCCAAGCAACUGUUUAGCAAAAACACAGGUCUAUGCAAAACCGAAAGGUGAGGUAUAUGGGCUGACGCCUGCCCGGUGCUGGAAGGUUAAGAGGAGAGGUUAGCGCAAGCGAAGCUUUGAAUUUAAGCCCCAGUAAACGGCGGCCGUAACUAUAACGGUCCUAAGGUAGCGAAAUUCCUUGUCGGGUAAGUUCCGACCCGCACGAAAGGCGUAAUGAUUUGGGCACUGUCUCGACAAUGCACCCGGUGAAAUUGAAAUACCAGUGAAGAUGCUGGUUACCUGCGCCA